rnacentral:rRNA from 1 species
AGGCAGCAGUGGGGGAGUAUUGCACAAUGGGGGAAACCCUGAUGCAGCGACGCCGCGUGGGCGAAGAAGUAUUUCGGUAUGUAAAGCCCUAUCAGCAGGGAAGAAGAAAUGACGGUACCUGAGUAAGAAGCACCGGCUAAAUACGUGCC